UCAGGUUAGGAUGUGUCUGCUUGGUUGACCAGACCGACCAAAUAUCCUUAUUUUAUUAUUAUUUUAUUUAAAAGAUUGAAAGAAUGGGGGAGAGCAAUAAUAUCAUUUUCUACCCCUCUUAACUGUUGUCCCCCCUGCCACCUACUGUCUAUAUCUUCCCCCCCACCCAUGUACCCUCCAGACCUCCAGCCCUGCCCCCAGUACCCUCCCCCUGCUGUGAGCCCUGCACCCCUCCUCCCCCUCAUUUUCUAUCAAUGCAGUGGUCAUGGCUCCUGCUGGCCGUGGCAGCAUCAGCAUCAGUGUAAUUAGCCAUGGUCCAAGGGCAGCAGGAUGCUGCCUGCCAGACUCGACACCAGGGGUAUGCAGUGUCCCAGGUGAUAUUUAGAAAACUUUCAUGGGUAGAACUCACCGGGGACAAGCCAACAGGCCAGUGAAGAGUCACACACCAGUGGAUACUGAAAAAAACGUUUUUAUUCUUUUCACAUUUUUAUUUUUAUAUUGUAUGUGUGCAUGUGAAUGUUUUUGUAUAUAGUUAUAUAGUUAUUUUUGCUAAGAAGGACAAAAGUCUUGACCUUUUGUUUAUUUUUGUUACAUUUUGUAUUCAUUUUAUUUUAAU